rnacentral:rRNA from 1 species
AUGAACGCUAGCUACAGGCUUAACACAUGCAAGUCGAGGGGCAGCAUGGUCUUAGCUUGCUAAGGCCGAUGGCGACCGGCGCACGGGUGAGUAACACGUAUCCAACCUGCCGUCUACUCUUGGACAGCCUUCUGAAAGGAAGAUUAAUACAAGAUGGCAUCAUGAGUCCGCAUGUUCACAUGAUUAAAGGUAUUCCGGUAGACGAUGGGGAUGCGUUCCAUUAGAUAGUAGGCGGGGUAACGGCCCACCUAGUCUUCGAUGGAUAGGGGUUCUGAGAGGAAGGUCCCCCACAUUGGAACUGAGACACGGUCCAAACUCCUACGGGAGGCAGCAGUGAGGAAUAUUGGUCAAUGGGCGAGAGCCUGAACCAGCCAAGUAGCGUGAAGGAUGACUGCCCUAUGGGUUGUAAACUUCUUUUAUAAAGGAAUAAAGUCGGGUAUGGAUACCCGUUUGCAUGUACUUUAUGAAUAAGGAUCGGCUAACUCCGUGCCAGCAGCCGCGGUAAUACGGAGGAUCCGAGCGUUAUCCGGAUUUAUUGGGUUUAAAGGGAGCGUAGAUGGAUGUUUAAGUCAGUUGUGAAAGUUUGCGGCUCAACCGUAAAAUUGCAGUUGAUACUGGAUAUCUUGAGUGCAGUUGAGGCAGGCGGAAUUCGUGGUGUAGCGGUGAAAUGCUUAGAUAUCACGAAGAACUCCGAUUGCGAAGGCAGCCUGCUAAGCUGCAACUGACAUUGAGGCUCGAAAGUGUGGGUAUCAAACAGGAUUAGAUACCCUGGUAGUCCACACGGUAAACGAUGAAUACUCGCUUUUGCGAUAUACAGCAAGCGGCCAAGCGAAAGCGUUAAGUAUUCCACCUGGGGAGUACGCCGGCAACGGUGAAACUCAAAGGAAUUGACGGGGGCCCGCACAAGCGGAGGAACAUGUGGUUUAAUUCGAUGAUACGCGAGGAACCUUACCCGGGCUUAAAUUGCAGAUGAAUUACGGUGAAAGCCGUAAGCCGCAAGGCAUCUGUGAAGGUGCUGCAUGGUUGUCGUCAGCUCGUGCCGUGAGGUGUCGGCUUAAGUGCCAUAACGAGCGCAACCCUUGUUGUCAGUUACUAACAGGUUCCGCUGAGGACUCUGACAAGACUGCCAUCGUAAGAUGUGAGGAAGGUGGGGAUGACGUCAAAUCAGCACGGCCCUUACGUCCGGGGCUACACACGUGUUACAAUGGGGGGUACAGAGGGCCGCUACCACGCGAGUGGAUGCCAAUCCCCAAAACCUCUCUCAGUUCGGACUGGAGUCUGCAACCCGACUCCACGAAGCUGGAUUCGCUAGUAAUCGCGCAUCAGCCACGGCGCGGUGAAUACGUUCCCGGGCCUUGUACACACCGCCCGUCAAGCCAUGGGAGCCGGGGGUACCUGAAGUGCGUAACCGCGAGGAGCGCCCUAGGGUAAAACUGGUGACUGGGGCU